AGCGUAGACGGUUGUGUAAGUCUGAUGUGAAAGCCCGGGGCUCAACCCCGGGACUGCAUUGGAAACUAUGUAACUAGAGUGUCGGAGAGGUAAGCGGAAUUCCUAGUGUAGCGGUGAAAUGCGUAGAUAUUAGGAGGAACACCAGUGGCGAAGGCGGCUUACUGGACGAUCACUGACGUUGAGGCUCGAAAGCGUGGGGAGCAAACA
rnacentral:rRNA from 1 species